UUGCAGUUAAAAAGCUCGUAGUCUGAAAUGAGCAAUUAAUGGUCAUACGUAAUUUUACGUUACACUGUGAACAAAUCAGGACGCUUAGAGUAUGGUUACAGGAAUGACUCAGCGCAGUAUGAUAUCUUUGUUUUUUUCGGAAAACAAGCUCAAUGAGAGCCAUCGGGGGUAGAUCUAUCCCAUGACGAGUGGUGGAAUACGGUGACUCAUGGGAGAGAAUCGGAGGCGAAGGCGUCUACCUAGAGGGUUUCUGUCGAUCAAGGGCGAGAGUAGGAGUAUCCAACAGGAUUAGAGACCCUGGUAGUUCCUACUGUAAACGAUGCCGACAGGAGUUUGUCAUUUGCUAAUGGCAGAAUCUUUAGAGAAAUCAUAGUUCUUGGGCUCUGGGGGAACUACGACCGCAAGGCUGAAACUUGAAGGAAUUGACGGAAGGGCACACCAGGGGUGGAGCCUGUGGCUUAAUUUGAAUCAACACGGGGAAACUUACCAGGACCAGAUGUUUUUUAUGACUGACAGGCUUAAGGUCUUUCAGGCAUAUGAUUUUUGGUGGUGCAUGGCCGUUGGUGGUGCGUGGGUUGACCUGUCCUAGCGU
rnacentral:rRNA from 1 species